rnacentral:rRNA from 1 species
UACGGGGGGAGCAAGCGUUGUUCGGAUUUACUGGGCGUAAAGGGCGCGUAGGCGGCCAGCACAAGUCAGUUGUGAAAUCUCCGGGCUUAACUCGGAAAGGUCAACUGAUACUGUGCGGCUAGAGUGCAGAAGGGGCAACUGGAAUUCUCGGUGUAGCGGUGAAAUGCGUAGAUAUCGAGAGGAACACCUGCGGCGAAGCGGGUGCUGGGCUGACACUGACGCUGAUGCGCGAAAGCCAGGGGAGCGAACGGG